GUUUUCUCAUGCUUGUCUGGGACUGGCUGAGUGAGUAGAAGUCCUGCGUGGCACCACACUUCUCAUCUCUACAUUUUCCACGCAGAAGGGCUGCCAAUUCUCACACCUAACGGGAGUCAGAUGUAGCAAACAGAUGGUGAAUGGAUCCAUAAUAAGGCUUUCAUGACUACUGUACAGGUAUUUUGUUCUCUAAUAUCUUAAAACAAUUAAGUUCCAGUGGAAAUCCUCA
rnacentral:lncRNA from 14 species